rnacentral:rRNA from 1 species
UACAGAGGGGGCGAGCGUUGUUCGGAAUUACUGGGCGUAAAGGGCGCGUAGGCGGCCCGCUAAGUCGAACGUGGAAUCCCCAGGCUCAACCUGGGAACUGCGUCCGAUACUGGCAGGCUUGAAUCCGGGAGAGGGAUGUGGAAUUCCAGGUGUAGCGGUGAAAUGCGUAGAUAUCUGGAGGAACACCGGUGGCGAAGGCGGCAUCCUGGACCGGUAUUGACGCUGAGGCGCGAAAGCUAGGGGAGCAAACGGG